rnacentral:rRNA from 1 species
CGGGGUGGAGUAAUGUCUGGGAAACUGCCUGAUGAGGGGGAGUAACUACUGGAAACGGUAGCUAAUACCGCAUAACGUCGCAAGACCAAAGUGGGGGACCUUCGGGCCUCAUGCCAUCAGAUGUGCCCAGAUGGGAUUAGCUAGUAGGUGGGGUAACGGCUCACCUAGGCGACGACCCCUAGCUGGUCUGAGAGGAUGACCAGCCACACUGGAACUGAGACACGGUCCAG